CUGCAAAGCUUUGUUCUGCAGGUAGGGCUGGGCUUUUCAUUGACCAUGGGUUGGAAUAGUUCUGUGGGCAUAGUGUGCCUUCGAAGCCACUAUGUGUUCCGCACUUGUGACUAGAGAGCACCUUGAUAGCUCAGUUUGUAGAGCGGUGGACUGUAAGAUGCUCCUUGUGUGAAACGCUUUGAUCCUAAGGUCGCUGGUUCAACUCCAGCCGGAAGCACCUCCUUGUCAUU